AAAAUACAGGGACCAAAAGCCGACAUGGAAGAAAAGAAAAAGAAGAAGAAGAAGAAGAAGAAGAAGAGAAGGAAGGAGAAAUCGAGGGGAGAGUGAAGGAGGAGGAGGAGCGGGCAGCGUUGACCGUCAGGACGCGCAGCGGAGCGGGCCGAAAGUGCUGCCGGCGUCAGCGAGUGCGACGGUGGCGGCGACAGCUCCAGAAAGCAGCGAUGGCGACAGUGAGAGCGAAGGACGCUGCAGCGGCUGUUCGGCGCCGUUCAUGGCGUUUCCGCCGUCGGUAGCCACUGUUCUUGGUGGCAAUCGACUCCCUUCGGUCUUGGCUUUGUUUUGGCGGCAGCGGCGACACUAAUGGCGGCCGGAAUUGGAAGUUCGCGGUGGAGAGAGAAAGUGGGUGGCAGCCGCAUUUUCUGGCUUUUCCGGCGAGGUAUGGAUGAUCGGAGGGCAUAUCCGGACUCUCCUCAGCUCAAGCUUCGCAAUGGCACCGGUUUCGUAGCGAUCUGACCCCGUUUGAAAAUCAACGGCUGAGAUCGUCUGUAAAUCUCUCCGGAUGAUGAGGGGUUGGAUCAAAAAAUCAAAAGCAGGGAUCGUCAUCAACGCGUCAUUUCGAGUUCGUUUGUGCGUUCGGAUUGUCGAUCGAACUCCGGCGGCUGGAGGCGAGUCGACCGAGCGAUAAAGCGUCUGGAUCUAUGAUUGUUAGUCUUCCUGCGGCUCUUAUCUAGCAACCCGACUCCAUCAUCGGGUGAUGAAAUUGAUUUAGUAUGUUGAAUUGUAAAAUUUUAGAUUCUCAACAGUAGAAAUAAUAGACUUAUCAGUUAUAAAUUAUUGUAGUUUCGGAUCUUGCCUAAUGCUUCUGGCAGACCGAAUUAAUUAUGUGGAAUGUAAUAGUUAAGAUAAAUUGUGACAUCAGUAAUAUCAGAUGAGAUUUAAUUAA